rnacentral:lncRNA from 1 species
UUUCAAGUACCAGCUUCUAACUGAUCAUAAGUUUUUCAACUUAACUUGUGCCGAUGCAAACCUUAUGUUCUUCGAUUUCCAACCUUCAAGCGCAUGCCAUUUUUCAAAAAUUAGAGUUUAUAAAUUUUCUAUUUCUAAUUAGCAAACAAAAGAAGUAAAAUAACCCAACAUGACUUUUGAGAGAACACCACCAUUCAACUUAAUAAAAUUAAAGAUUAGCUACUAACCCUAUCAUGAAAUUAUUUGAAGACGAGGUAGAGGUAUUAACCUUGGAAAUAGAUAUUGAAAUAGUAAACAAAAUAAGAAAAUUAAAAAGUCAUAUUUAGCUAAAGAAUAAAGAACUUAACCUUUCAAGUAUCAGCUUGUAACUGACAUAAGUUUUUCAACUUAACUUGUGCCGAAGCAAACCUUAUGUUCUUCGAGCUCCAACCUUUAAGCGCAUGCCAAUUUUCUCAAAUUAGAGUUUAUAAAUUUUCUAUUUCUGAUUAGCAAACAAAAGAAGUAAAAUAACCCAACAUGACUUUUGAAGGAACACCACCAUGCAACUUAAUAAAAUAAAAAAUUAGCUACUAACCCUUUCAUGGAAUUAUUUAAAGACGAGGUAGAGGUACUAACCUUUGAAAUAAAAAUUGAAAUAGUAAACAAAAUAAGAAAAUUAAAAAGUCAAAUUUAGCUAAAGAAUAAACAACUUAACCUUUUAAGUAUCAGCUUCUAACUGAUCAUAAGAUUUUCAACUUAACUUGUGCCGACGCAAAUCUUAUGUUCUUCGAGC